CGGGUGGGCAGGAGGUGAGGACAGCUUGCAGGGCACAGAAGUGAGAGGGCACAAUCUGAGUGCAGAGGGAGCUUCACAGCGUCUACCAUGUCCCCUGGUGUGAGGACCCAGAGGCAGCAGUGUGUGGACAGUGUAUCACACAGGUGUUGUAACACAAAUGUGAAGGCCCAUGUUCUGUCCUGUGCAAGGCCCCUGCUGUGCCCUGUCUCCGCAUCACCCACGGGCACCACAUGGCCUGUGCACCUGGGCGUGGAUGAGCACAGGAGGCCCCCAGCACGGAGCUCCACACAACACAGACAGUCUCCACGUCCUCAUCUCCAGAC
rnacentral:lncRNA from 1 species